UACAGAGGUCUCAAGCGUUGUUCGGAUUCAUUGGGCGUAAAGGGUGCGUAGGCGGCGCGGUAAGUCGGGUGUGAAAUCUCGGAGCUUAACUCCGAAACUGCAUUCGAUACUGCCGUGCUUGAGGACUGGAGAGGAAACUGGAAUUUACGGUGUAGCGGUGAAAUGCGUAGAUAUCGUAAGGAAGACCAGUGGCGAAGGCGGGUCUCUGGACAGUUCCUGACGCUGAGGCACGAAGGUCAGGGGAGCAAACGGG
rnacentral:rRNA from 1 species